GAUGAACGCUGGCGGCGUGCUUAACACAUGCAAGUCGAACGAAGCACCUUGAUUCGAUUCUUCGGAUGAAGAUCUUGGUGACUGAGUGGCGGACGGGUGAGUAACGCGUGGGUAACCUGCCUCAUACAGGGGGAUAACAGUUAGAAAUGACUGCUAAUACCGCAUAAGACCACAGCACCGCAUGGUGCAGGGGUAAAAACUCCGGUGGUAUGAGAUGGACCCGCGUCUGAUUAGGUAGUUGGUGGGGUAACGGCCUACCAAGCCGACGAUCAGUAGCCGACCUGGGAGGGUGACCGGCCACAUUGGGAAUGAGACACGGCCCAAACUCCUACGGGAGGCAGCAGUGGGGAAUAUUGCACAAUGAGGGAAAACCUGAUGCAGCGACGCCGCGUGAGCGAUGAAGUAUUUCGGUAUGUAAAGCUCUAUCAGCAGGGAAGAAAAUGACGGUACCUGACUAAGAAGCACCGGCUAAAUACGUG
rnacentral:rRNA from 1 species